AUGCACGAUCCUCGCAGUAGGAUCUUUUUAUACAUUGUCGGUAAACCUUGACAAGCAGGAAAUAGGGAAAUUUUCGGAGGACAUUUCCUUUACCUGUGGAAUUCAUGUUUCUCACAUCCAAAAGAUCAAUCUCAUCAGUUCUGGUGUGGAAAUAUUCCAAUCAUGAUCCCUUUCCUAAAUUGAUAACAAUUGUUAAGUGAUUUGUGAGGCAAGGAAGGAAAUGCAUGGAUUAAAAUGAUCUACUGAGCUGGCUGUAUCUAGGCCCAUGCAUCUAGGAUCAUCAACAUUGAAUUUGGCAGGUGUUCACAAAAGUUUUUGCACAUUCAGUAGC